UUUUAAGAAUACUAAUGUCUGGAUCUCAGAGCCGAAUGAAUCACUCAAGUUUAGCCUUUCACAGGGAUUAGUCAUUGCGCUGUGGAUCCCCACUGUUCUCCACAAGAACUACAUAAUAUUCGAAGGAACAGCUCGGCUCAGCUUGCUGUUGUGCUCUGGCUCUGCCUGUAGGAAGCCAGUGUGGACGCAGGUGUGUUGUAGUAGGCGUUAGCAAGGACACGGGUUGUGACGCGGCAGAACCUCCCCUGCUCUGUGAUGUAAAUUGGACGCACGCUUUUGGCGAACGCUUAAGGGGUGUAGACGAAGCAGUCAGCCUACUUAAGGAGCUAUUGUGCUGCAACAAACGCCCUUUGCUGCAUACCCGUGUUGUUGUCAGUGUCGCUAUGGUCCUAGCGAGGGUAGUUCACUAGCCCCCGGCAGAAUGCGCCUCAGACACGGGAGCUACAGCUACUACACAGUUAAAACCAAGCUGAAACUGCCUUUCAAGAAUAAGUUUUAGUGGAAGAAUCAAAAUUGAGCCUGCCAAUGUAGGAAAAUCCAAUUGUGUUAUGAAAUACUUCUACUUCAUGGGAACAGUGCGCUAGGAUACGUCAUCUACAGAACAUGGAAGUGCAAGCAAGGAGCAGCAUACUUGGAUUUGAUUCUGCAUCAGUCUGUUCUCACUGAAAUUGCUUUUUCCUUCACCGCACUUGUUGUCGGAGGUCCUGCAAAACUCUGCGAGCUGAAAAGUUGUGGUCACUCAGGGUUGCUCAUCCUAUUUGCUGAACAACACGUCAACAACAGAGCUGGGAGCAGAGGAGCUGUGUGUUCCUCAGGCAAAUAG
rnacentral:lncRNA from 1 species